GACGAACGCUGGCGGCGUGCUUAACACAUGCAAGUCGAGCGGUAAGGCCCUUUCGGGGGUACGACGAGCGGCGAACGGGUGAGUAACACGUGGGUGACCUGCCCUCAGCUCUGGGAUAAGCCUGGGAAACCGGGUCUAAUACUGGAUAUGACUCCAUGACGCAUGUUGUGGGGUCGAAAGCCUUGUGCGGCUGAGGAUGGGCCCGC
rnacentral:rRNA from 1 species